rnacentral:rRNA from 1 species
GGGUUGUGAGGUUAAGCGACUAAGCGUACACGGUGGAUGCCCUGGCAGUCAGAGGCGAUGAAGGACGUGCUAAUCUGCGAAAAGCGUCGGUAAGGUGAUAUGAACCGUUAUAGCCGGCGAUGUCCGAAUGGGGAAACCCAGUGUGAUUCGUCACACUAUCGUUAACUGAAUACAUAGGUUAACGAGGCGAACCGGGGGAACUGAAACAUCUAAGUACCCCGAGGAAAAGAAAUCAACCGAGAUUCCCCCAGUAGCGGCGAGCGAACGGGGAGCAGCCCAGAGUCUGAAUCAGCUUGUGUGUUAGUGGAACGGUCUGGAAAGUCCGACGGUACAGGGUGAUAGUCCCGUACACCAAAAUGCACAGGUUGUGAACUCGAAGAGUAGGGCGGGACACGUGGUAUCCUGUCUGAAUAUGGGGGGACCAUCCUCCAAGGCUAAAUACUCCUGACUGACCGAUAGUGAACCAGUACCGUGAGGGAAAGGCGAAAAGAACCCCGGCGAGGGGAGUGAAAAAGAACCUGAAACCGUGUACGUACAAGCAGUGGGAGCACCUUCGGGUGUGACUGCGUACCUUUUGUAUAAUGGGUCAGCGACUUAUAUUCUGUAGCAAGGUUAACCGUAUAGGGGAGCCGCAGGGAAACCGAGUCUUAACUGGGCGUUAAGUUGCAGGGUAUAGACCCGAAACCCGGUGAUCUAGCCAUGGGCAGGUUGAAGGUUGGGUAACACUAACUGGAGGACCGAACCGACUAAUGUUGAAAAAUUAGCGGAUGACUUGUGGCUGGGGGUGAAAGGCCAAUCAAACCGGGAGAUAGCUGGUUCUCCCCGAAAGCUAUUUAGGUAGCGCCUCGUGAACUCAUCUUCGGGGGUAGAGCACUGUUUCGGCUAGGGGGUCAUCCCGACUUACCAACCCGAUGCAAACUACGAAUACCGAAGAAUGUUAUCACGGGAGACACACGGCGGGUGCUAACGUCCGUCGUGAAGAGGGAAACAACCCAGACCGCCAGCUAAGGUCCCAAAGUCAUGGUUAAGUGGGAAACGAUGUGGGAAGGCACAGACAGCCAGGAUGUUGGCUUAGAAGCAGCCAUCAUUUAAAGAAAGCGUAAUAGCUCACUGGUCGAGUCGGCCUGCGCGGAAGAUGUAACGGGGCUAAACCAUGCACCGAAGCUGCGGCAGCGACACUAUGUGUUGUUGGGUAGGGGAGCGUUCUGUAAGCCUGCGAAGGUGUGCUGUGAGGCAUGCUGGAGGUAUCAGAAGUGCGAAUGCUGACAUAAGUAACGAUAAAGCGGGUGAAAAGCCCGCUCGCCGGAAGACCAAGGGUUCCUGUCCAACGUUAAUCGGGGCAGGGUGAGUCGACCCCUAAGGCGAGGCCGAAAGGCGUAGUCGAUGGGAAACAGGUUAAUAUUCCUGUACUUGGUGUUACUGCGAAGGGGGGACGGAGAAGGCUAUGUUAGCCGGGCGACGGUUGUCCCGGUUUAAGCAUGUAGGCUGAUUGUCCAGGCAAAUCCGGAUAAUCAAGGCUGAGGUGUGAUGACGAGGCACUACGGUGCUGAAGUAACAAAUGCCCUGCUUCCAGGAAAAGCCUCUAAGCAUCAGGUAACAUCAAAUCGUACCCCAAACCGACACAGGUGGUCAGGUAGAGAAUACCAAGGCGCUUGAGAGAACUCGGGUGAAGGAACUAGGCAAAAUGGUGCCGUAACUUCGGGAGAAGGCACGCUGGUGUGUAGGUGAAGCCCCUGCGGGUGGAGCUGAGACCAGUCGAAGAUACCAGCUGGCUGCAACUGUUUAUUAAAAACACAGCACUGUGCAAACACGAAAGUGGACGUAUACGGUGUGACGCCUGCCCGGUGCCGGAAGGUUAAUUGAUGGGGUUAUCCGUAAGGAGAAGCUCUUGAUCGAAGCCCCGGUAAACGGCGGCCGUAACUAUAACGGUCCUAAGGUAGCGAAAUUCCUUGUCGGGUAAGUUCCGACCUGCACGAAUGGCGUAAUGAUGGCCAGGCUGUCUCCACCCGAGACUCAGUGAAAUUGAACUCGCUGUGAAGAUGCAGUGUACCCGCGGCAAGACGGAAAGACCCCGUGAACCUUUACUAUAGCUUGACACUGAACAUUGAGCCUUGAUGUGUAGGAUAGGUGGGAGGCUUUGAAGCGUGGACGCCAGUCUGCGUGGAGCCAACCUUGAAAUACCACCCUUUAAUGUUUGAUGUUCUAACGUUGGCCCCUGACCGGGGUUGCGGACAGUGUCUGGUGGGUAGUUUGACUGGGGCGGUCUCCUCCCAAAGCGUAACGGAGGAGCACGAAGGUUAGCUAAUCCUGGUCGGACAUCAGGAGGUUAGUGCAAUGGCAUAAGCUAGCUUGACUGCGAGCGUGACGGCGCGAGCAGGUGCGAAAGCAGGUCAUAGUGAUCCGGUGGUUCUGAAUGGAAGGGCCAUCGCUCAACGGAUAAAAGGUACUCCGGGGAUAACAGGCUGAUACCGCCCAAGAGUUCAUAUCGACGGCGGUGUUUGGCACCUCGAUGUCGGCUCAUCACAUCCUGGGGCUGAAGUAGGUCCCAAGGGUAUGGCUGUUCGCCAUUUAAAGUGGUACGCGAGCUGGGUUUAGAACGUCGUGAGACAGUUCGGUCCCUAUCUGCCGUGGGCGCUGGAGAAUUGAGGGGGGCUGCUCCUAGUACGAGAGGACCGGAGUGGACGCAUCACUGGUGUUCGGGUUGUCAUGCCAAUGGCACUGCCCGGUAGCUAAAUGCGGAAGAGAUAAGUGCUGAAAGCAUCUAAGCACGAAACUUGCCCCGAGAUGAGUUCUCCCUGAGACUUUAAGUCUCCUGAAGGAACGUUGAAGACGACGACGUUGAUAGGCCGGGUGUGUAAGCGCAGCGAUGCGUUGAGCUAACCGGUACUAAUGAACCGUGAGGCUUAACCUUACAACGCCGAAG